GGAUUCAUGGGCUAAUAAAAAGAACUAAACCAAUAGGCUUGAGCCAAAACGAAAGAGGCUAGACUCUAGUGAAUGGACCACUGCAUACAAUGCAAGUAACAAAUGAACCUAUAAACUUAAGGUCAGUCUACUUGCACUAGAGGGGAGGAGUGCCGGUGUCCCACAUUGACAACAAAGAAGGAAAAAGAAGAGAAUAUAAAAUAAAGCAAGGAGAACCAAGCCAAAUUGGCUUAACCAUUUUGGUGAAGGCAACCUUAAGCUCAACACAUGAACCUAUGCCAAUA
rnacentral:misc_RNA from 1 species